AUGUACACCCAUCACCUGUAGCUACUGGAAGUUCUGAAAGUGGCUAGAAAGCAAGGCCAAGAGUUGCCAACAUGUUUAAGCUGGAUUAUGAAGAUAGGAUUCAUCGGAGGAAAGAGAAACUUUAAAUACUAUGAACAAGUCCCCCUUCUGAAAUUGUUUAAAUUGUGUUGGCAUCACCUGCAAGAAUCAGCUGCUCUAUGACGCAGGUGUCCUCUGACAUGGCAUCUAGCAUCGCCAUCUGCUCCUGACAGGGUGUACCUUAGCCCUGCGUGCAGCACCUGAACAGCAUCCUGACCACACGGCUCAAGCUCAGUGAGCUCCUCAGAUGCCUGAAGGGGUCCAGAAGACACACUCACGAAGUCUUCUGAUGCCGAGUGUGACAUUUUGUCCCUCACCAAAACCAGCACCUAACAAGCAGAACUCCUUCUGUGGAGGCAUCCGUUUCAGUCAGCUGCUCUUAGAAUGUAAAGGGUGGCCGUGGACUUCACCUUGUCCAUGUGGGAGGACAUAGGAGUCCCAAGACUGCAUUGUCUAUGAGUGAACAGAUCUGCUGAUCUUUACACACUCGAGAAGGUGCGAUCAUCACUAGUCCUACUUGCUACUCAGUAGACUCCUCAGUGACUUUAGUAGGCAAUAUUCAGAAGAGAAAAGUUAUUUUCCUCAUUUGAGGGAUCUCACUGCAAAGCUAGACAUAGAGCUCGAUUCAGUAUCCAUUUGUAGCCAGCACAUUUUAGAAUAGGGAUGUCAAAUGAGACAGUCAAAACUACCUCUCCUUCUAGGCUGGCAAGACGUCCAGUGCACAAAGGUGCUUCCACCAAGCACAAUAAUCUGACUUUGAUGCCAGCAUCCACACAGUGAAAGGAGAGAACAGAUUGCUAUUAGUUGUCCUCAGAUCACCAUGGCAUGUGUCCACAUCCAUGCACGCAUGCACCCCAGACACACUAUACUUCCCAUCAAAAGGAGAAUCUUUCUCAAGACAUUUUUAUGGCCAUUAGUUGACACAAAAUGUGGUAGUAAGAUUAUUUUACACCUAUUCUGUAGCAGUGAAGAUGGAACUUAGAAAGGUCAAACAGCUUGUUCAAGAUCACACAACUAACGAGGGAUGAAGACAAAAUUCUAAUCCAGUUCUCUCUCAAACACAGCUGUGAAAUGUGGCUUCCUGUUUCACAUGGUGUAGCUAGUAGCUCAUAUCCACCACUACUUUAGGUUAAUCUAUUGCCUGAUUAAAUCAAUAUCCUCA